GGGGAUUUAGCUCAGUGGUAGAGCGCUUGCCUAGCAAGCACAAGGGCCUGGGUUCGGUCCCCAGCUCCG
rfam:Rattus norvegicus chromosome 1, whole genome shotgun sequence.